rnacentral:rRNA from 1 species
AUUGAACGCUGGCGGCAGGCUUAACACAUGCAAGUCGAGCGAGCCGCGGACGGGUUAGCAAUGUAUUGGGACUGCCCGAUAGAGCGGGAUAACUACUGGAAACGGUUGCUAAUACCGCAUACUAUCGGAUAACCCAUUUGGGAUUAGCUAGGUGGUGGGGUAAAGGCUCACUUAGGCGACGUAUUCUAGCUGGUCUGAGAGGAUGAUCAGCCGCACUGGGACUGGGACACGGCCCAGACUCCAUCGGAGGCAGCAGUGGGGAAUAGUGGGCAAGGGGGGCAAGCCUGAGGAAGACAGGCCGCGUGUAUGAAGAAGGCCUUAGGGUUGUAAAGUACUGUCAUCGGGGAGGCGUUACCCACAGAAGAAGCGCCGGCUAACUACAUGCCAGCCGCCGCGGUAAUAC